ensembl:lncRNA
CAUACACCACCCCCCUUAAAUAUAAUCUCUGAUUUCUUCAUUUCAAAGCUGGAGUGAGCAGCUGUAGGCCUGCCAGGACACAGCCUAGCAGGGAGCAUGGAGCAGCAGCAUAAAUCCCACAUUCCCUGACCUCAGUUCUCAGCAAGAAUCCAAAUGGUCAUUUCUGCAAAGGAGACCCACUGAUUCUGAAAACAAUGGACUUCAAAUCAUGUAGCUAUGGAAAAGUACGGCAGUGCCAACCCUGGUUCCAAGAUCUUUCAUCUCUUGCUAACAAACUCUUCAAAUGUGCUACUUUAAACCCAGCUUUGGUGUCAGUCUGAGCAUCAGACGAGCAUGAAGAAGGCUGAAGAACUCAGCAAGUUCAUUGCCUCUGUCUUCACUUGCAGUCAGGCUUCCAACAACUCUCAUGUUCCUGAACUUCUAGGUAGGGUUGUGGGAGAGCACAAUCCCUCCCACUGUAAGAGCAGAACAAGUUCAAGACCACCUGAUGAGAUUGAACAUGUACAAGUCUAUGGAGUCCAUUGACAUGCAUCCCACAGUCCUGAAGAAACUGGCUGAUGCAGUUGCCAAGCUAUUUUCCAUCACACGUGAAAAGUCAUGGCUGUCAGGUGAAGUCCCCAGAAACUGGAAAAAAGGAAAUGUCACUCCCAUUCAUAAGAAAGGGAGAAAGGAAGACCAAGGAAACUACAGGUCAGUGAGCCUCAGCUCUGUGCCUGGGAAGAUCAUGGAGGAGAUCCUCCUGGAAGGGAUGUCAAAGCACAUGCAAAAUCAGGAGGUGAUCCAAGACAACCAGCACAGCUUCGUGGUCCUCCGUGAUGGAAUGACGGCUUCAGUAGACAAAAGAAGAGUAACUGAUAUCAUCUACUUGAAAUACUUGAAAUUAUACUCAUUAAAUGAGAUGUCAGUGCAGCUUGAUAGGAAGUGUGGAAGUAGAUUAAUGAGUACUUUCAAAGAUUAAUAAUUAUUUUCCAUGUAUGAGAUAUAAUAAAGUAAAACAGAUGGUAGUUUGCAGUACAUAAUGUAAAGCAUAUUUACUUCCUGAGUGGUUCAUGUGUAGCUUUAAUAAGAGAGAAUUCUAUUUUUUGUUUUAAUGUCUUUCUGAGAGAACUUGCAUCACUUACAUACUCUAAUGCUGAGUGCCAAAGCACAAAGAUUCAC